GAAGGGGCCUCACAGAGGUGCAGACAGGGAGUGCGUCCUGAGGCACCCUUGAACGAGUAACAGCAGGAGGCCAUGACCGUCCUCGUCCUGAAGGCGUGAGGGGCGAGAGCCCCGCCCGGACUGGGGUGUGAGGGCCCCGCCACCAAUGCAGGAGCUACCGCAGCCGGAAGCAGCAGAGCCCAGGAGGAAACACCCCAAACCCUCUCUCCUCCCAUUCGGGCCUCCUCUCGGCCUCUCCCGACCAUCAUCAAGAAUACGGGAGCCUGGGAUGACAUCCCUAGAGUUCUCAGCUGAGAGAGAUACUGCUUGCUGGCCACGUGACUGAGUCCCUUGGAAGUGAAUCAGCCAAUCGUCCGCUGAGCUGCCCGAGCACCCCGAUGGAGCAAAGAUGAGCUAGAUUAUAGAUCUCACUUAGUCUGACACAUCCUGAGGCCCAGAAAACCUUGCGUGUGGACACGAGGAACGGAUGGACCGGAUGGACCGGACGGGUGGUGAUGGUACUGGUCGUCCCACACCCUCUGCCUUGUCAUUUCCACCCCACCUUCCAGAAGGGACCGUGAUUCGGCUCAUGACUCUCCUGGAGCCUGCCUUGUGGGUGACGCUGACUCAGGACCUGGCACAUGGCAGGAGUUUCCACUGACACCCUCUGCAUUCGCUCCCGGGAACGUGGAUUUGCCGGCCUCCCCACCCCGGACCUGCUGGAGUCACGCCCCUGGGAGCACAGAGACCCCACUGGAUGCAUCUCAGCAGCCCCCUCCCCGCCCAACGCCAUGCAUGUGCUCCCACACACGUGGACGCACAUGCAUGAGACAUGCACACACGCAUAUACAGACACACAUAGACAUACACACACACACACACAGCCCACACGAACCACAGACACAGACAUGCACGCAGACGCAUACACAUAACUCCCGCCCCGCCCGCUGGGGUGCUUUACACAUCCCUUAGUCAGUGAUUAAGACACAUUUACUAAAUAAUAAAUGAGUGCAAACUCUCAGAUCCAGGAAGCCAGAGCGCGGCUGGGCCCUGCCCGUCUGCAGCCUCCCUGGCCCCCAAGCUGCCUGCAGUCUGCCGGAGGGAGAGACCACGCAGAGUGGGGGUGCCCCGCUGCCUCUAAUGGACCCCCCCCCACCCUCCGUCUGGCGGGCUCGCGAGCACUCUGGGUCCAAACCGGCCGGUCCACACAUACGGAGUCCAGCGAGCCUGCAGCCCUGUCCUCUGUGGUCUGGCCCACCCAGCCCAGCUGGGCUGCUCCCUGGCUCAACUUGAACUUGGCUCUUUCCAGAUACAGCGUGGUUCACAGGGAGGAGCCGGCAGCCCACACUCGUGCUGUCUGGAGUCGUCAGUCGCCUCUUGGGAGUCUGGUCACACACUCACUGGAGAAAGGAAGGGCUCCCUCCCUCCCUCGAGUUGGGUUGAGGGGUUGAGGGUUGGAGGGAGGCUGUGCUGAGCCCUCAAAUGUUGGGGCUCAGAUGGCUUAUUGAAAGCAAGACUCAGUCCUGGCCCAGCCAGAAAGAAGUGAUGAGUUCGGGGUUCUAUGGUAAGUGGAUGGCAGAGUGACCCCAAAUCUGGGGCUGUUUCCACAAGGCUGACUUCUUUUUUAAUGUGUGUUUUUGAGAGAGACAGAGAGAGAGUGCGUGCGUGUGUGAGUGAGCGGGGGAGGUGCAGAGAGAGAGGGGACAGAGGAUUCGAAGUGGUCUCUGUGCUCACAGCAGAGAGCCUGAUGCGGGGCUUGAACUCGUGAACUAUGAGAUCAUGACCUGAGCCAAAGCUGGACACUUAACCGACUGAGCCACCCAGAUGCCCCCACAAUGCUGAUGUCUCAAAUCUAGGUGAGCUCCAAGGACCUGGGGAGGGGGGCCCUGGGGCCUGUUGGAGGCCAAGGGGUGACUGCAGAGAGUCCUGGAGGACGGGGGGCCUGGGGCCCCCGUCUCCUCAGCUUCCUGCAGUCUCUCGGGCCCCACCCCAGAGCCAGGCUCUAGGCUGUGGCUUCAAACUCUUGCCUCCUGCCCAACUGCCAACUGUUCCCUCUGGGAAUGCUCUGUGCCCUCGGCUGCCAGCGUUCCUGGCAUGACGUUUCUCUGGUGCCGGGAGGAAAAGGGCCACAUGGUCCCCAUAUGCCACCGGGGUGGGAAGUUUACGCGGAACAGCUGAGCUGGCUUCUCCUUCUUCCCUCAGCAGACUUCCCUGCCUCUCUUCUCUUUGUCUUCCUCGGGGGACCUCCCGCUCCCGACCAAGAAGGAGAUAAAAUAGCAUGUUUUAGCAUUUGCAGGGCCGCCUGACUUUCCGACGCUUGUCCACACGCACUGGUUUCGAUUAAGCAAACACGCACGCUCUAAAAUCAAACAGGCACAUAUCCUUCGCCAGUACCUGCAGGGCCAGGUAAAGUCCUGGGAGGAUGAUAAGAUUUAUCCCCAUGCUAUCAACUGAGGAACCGAGCCCAGAGGCUCUGGCGCAGGAAGGAAAUCGGAGUGCACCUCGGCCCCACCAUCAGUUCCACUUUGAGGAUCCAACGUGUGGUGCCCUUUCUGGUUUCACUGGAAAUCCCUCCUCCAGCAAAUCCUGUGCUCCACCAAAUACCACACCACGAGGCUUGACGUGUUUGCCCCUGCUCCUUCCCCUGGAAUACUCUAGUCUCCUUCUCCCAGAAGAGAUCCUACCCACUCUCCAAUAUUCAUCUCCAAGGAUGCCUCCCUCAGGAGAUCUUCCAAGAUUGCGCCUAGCUCUACCCCUUUCGGCAAAGAAUUAACCAUUUCCUUUCUUCCCACAAAACUUGAUUUGCUACCCCCUUUCACACACAUUGCAUUGUCUUCCUUGUCUGAAGAUGUGUCGAGUGAGGG